AUGAGGACAAAUGAGGUUUCUGAUGGACUUCCUCUGCUGGUCGAAGGGGCAAAGCAUCAAAAUCUGUCAGAAGCAGGCAAAGGAGGCAGUGAAAGAAGCAACACGCCAGCAGCAGCGAGAAGAGGGGAAGAAAAGAGAGACGAGGAUGGUCUCUGCUCAACCAGCCAGCGUGCCUCAGACCCCGUGGACGAGGAUGCUUUUCUCACAGCAUCCUCGUCUUGCUCCUCAGCCUGGAGGAGUCCCUCCUCUCCUCAUAGGAGGUCGUCUGGUCCACCCUCCUGGUACAAUGUACAUCACCUGAGGUGUGGCCAUGCCUGGUGGUGUAGGUGGGGUCUGAGGCACGCUGGCUGGUGGAGCAGACACCAUCCUCGUCUCUCUUUUCUCCCCCUCUUCUCGCUGCUGCUGGCGCGUUGCUUCUUUCACUGUGUAAAUGACCACAAAGGUAAUGUCACUCACUCGUGGGCGUGGCUCAAUUGAAGCAGAUUCACCCCAGACCAUGUGUGUUGAGCACGGAGAUUUAUGGCAGACUCACUGCCUUCAUGUUUUUUCAAGUUGAAUGUAAGUUUGUAUGUUACUGAAAUGUUUAUUAUGAUGUUGUUUCAUUUGACGCUAUUUGGUAAUAUGUAAACACUUUACAAAUCAUAGUUGAGUUUCUCUUAUCUCGCCUACAUGCAUGUGCUAUUCUUUAGCUCAGAUGCUGUGUGUGUGUCAGUCAAGCUAGUGAUGCUAAGAUUAAAGACUUCAACACAUUUUCCAAUUAUUGCACCCUUGGUAAGCGGAGCGAGGUAUGUCAUUUUGACUCAUUGUAUCAGUGAACAAAAGUUUUAGAGAACCCGAAAUGUUGACAUUGGUUGUAAUAUUUGUUCUUUGGGAAACUAAAUAUUUUCAUGUGCUUAUGCAGCAGUGCACAUCAGUCAUUUUUUAUGUGUAUUACCAUGCUUUGUUCAGAAUUUACGUUCUGUUUUGUAUUGUGUAGACAUGUGUGUUACUGUGAUAUAUGUUAGUUUAUUUGCACCUUGUUAAAUGUGGGUGAUCACUAAGCAGCGACUUUGUUCAUUUUUAGUUUUCACGGUGCUUGAAGGAUGUUCAAGUGUUGCUGGUCAAACUUCUGUGGAUGUCACCAGCAAAUAAACUCACCGCACCCGUUAGAGACUCUCCUGUG
rnacentral:lncRNA from 1 species